rnacentral:rRNA from 1 species
CUUCCUGCAGUCGAGCGGGGGAGAUUGCUUCGGUAAUUGACCUAGCGGCGGACGGGUGAGUAAUACUUAGGAAUCUGCCUAUUAAUGGGGGACAACAUCUCGAAAGGGAUGCUAAUACCGCAUACGCCCUACGGGGGAAAGCAGGGGAUCACUUGUGACCUUGCGUUAAUAGAUGAGCCUAAGUCGGAUUAGCUAGUUGGUGGGGUAAAGGCCUACCAAGGCGACGAUCUGUAGCGGGUCUGAGAGGAUGAUCCGCCACACUGGGACUGAGACACGGCCCAGACUCCUACGGGAGGCAGCAGUGGGGAAUAUUGGACAAUGGGGGGAACCCUGAUCCAGCCAUGCCGCGUGUGUGAAGAAGGCCUUAUGGUUGUAAAGCACUUUAAGCGAGGAGGAGGCUCUUUUGGUUAAUACCCAAGAUGAGUGGACGUUACUCGCAGAAUAAGCACCGGCUAACUCUGUGCCAGCAGCCGCGGUAAUACAGAGGGUGCGAGCGUUAAUCGGAUUUACUGGGCGUAAAGCGUGCGUAGGCGGCUUUUUAAGUCGGAUGUGAAAUCCCCGAGCUUAACUUGGGAAUUGCAUUCGAUACUGGGAAGCUAGAGUAUGGGAGAGGAUGGUAGAAUUCCAGGUGUAGCGGUGAAAUGCGUAGAGAUCUGGAGGAAUACCGAUGGCGAAGGCAGCCAUCUGGCCUAAUACUGACGCUGAGGUACGAAAGCAUGGGGAGCAAACAGGAUUAGAUACCCUGGUAGUCCAUGCCGUACACGAUGUCUACUAGCCGAUGGGGUCUUUGAGACUUUAGUGGCGCAGCU